GGAUACAAGUAGUUUGGUCGAGAUACAGAUUGAAUAACCAUGACGUUCUCCUUGAUAUUACUGAUCUCAUUUAUGUUCCUGAUCGAAGAAAUGCAAACACAAGGAGCCUACGAAAUAUGGCAUAAGGCAUACCAGGUAUGGCAAGAAGAUAACGGGGCCUCAGGAAACAGCGAGGAGGUUCUCAACACGGAACAGGGCUAUUAUAACAACGUGGCGGAAAACGGAAACAGAUAGCACUUCUAGUUCAGACAUGUGAUGAAUGAUUUAGAGAAUAUUCGUGACUAUUCGUGACUAUUCGUGAUUACUCGUGAAUAUUUGUGAAGAUUCAACUAUUCGUGAUUACUCGUGAAUAUUUAUGAAUAUUCGACUAUUCGUGAUUACUUCUCGUGAAUAUCCGUGAUGACAUGGACGUUUAUAUACUGACUAUUGAAUGAAAUUUUAGAUUUGAUUUUUGAAAUGAGUUGAAUAUCUGACGAUAAAGUUUGAAGUUUGUUCUCCUCGCAUGCAAUGAUGUUCCAACUUUUUCGUUUCAAUAAAUAUAAAAUAAAAUAA